AAGAUUACUACUUCCCCUCUUCUGUUCCCUAUUUGUGUUCUGCUUUCAACUUGAACUCAUCAUAUGGAUUACAAAUGUAAAUUGUUUACUAUUUGAAUCAAGCUAAAAUAACUGCAAAGUGAAACACUUACUACAGUAAGGUAUACAAUUUCCAAAAUGUUUUGCAUUCUGGCCUUAGUUUUCAGAGACUUAUUUUCCGACAAUAUUCAUAACAGGGACGAUAAUUCGCCAACCAUUAAACAUGCCUUUUCAGGAUCAAUAAGCAGGUUCGAGAGCAAGCAUUUCCAAGCUCGUUUAAAGCUUUAGAAAUUAUAGUGGCCAAAACAGUAGCUAUUACAGACCACUAAUAAGGUCGCAAGCGGUGAUCAUUUUAUCUUACUAGGAAACCAUCGUUGCCUUCCUUGUGGAGACAGACAAUUUACUACAUCUAUGCCUUCUCCGGGAUUCGAAAGAGGACCUUCUGGUACUGCAGUCAGUGUCACUAACCACAUUCCUGUCGCUGCGGCAUAUACUCAGGAAAUAAAAGAAUCGAAUUUGAGAUGAAUUCUGUUUUUAAAGGUACUGAAUUCAAUUUGACAGAAUGCAAAUUAAAAGUAAUACAACAUAUAUGUGGAGAUAAAUCACUGAAAGUCAGCCAUGACUUUACUCGGAGUCAAACAUAGAAGUAUCGAAUUGCUUAAUCCAGAAGGAGAGGAAUACAUUGUUGUUAAUAAUAAUGAAAUGAUUGAAAAUGUAACCAAAAAAUACUACAUUGUAUUAUUGAUUAAGUUAUGCUAGAUAAAUAUGUUUUAGUUUUUAAAACGCAGAGAAAUAAUAUAAGUUUCAAAAGUUGACUGCAAUUUUGCGCGAAGCUGAAAUGUAGUACGAAAGAUUUUAAAUAAAAUUUGC